ACAAUGGAGAGUUUGAUCCUGGCUCAGGAUGAACGCUAGCGGCAGGCCUAAUACAUGCAAGUCGAACGAUAGAUGAGAGCUUGCUCUUAUCGAAAGUGGCGCACGGGUGCGUAACGCGUAUGCAACCUACCUUAAUCAGGGGGAUAGCCCGGAGAAAUCCGGAUUAACACCGCAUAAAAACACAGGAUAGCAUUAUCCAAUGUUCAAAUAUUUAUAGGAUUGAGAUGGGCAUGCGUGUCAUUAGCUAGUUGGCGGGGUAACGGCCCACCAAGGCGACGAUGACUAGGGGAUCUGAGAGGAUGACCCCCCACACUGGUACUGAGACACGGACCAGACUCCUACGGGAGGCAGCAGUAAGGAAUAUUGGUCAAUGGAGGCAACUCUGAACCAGCCAUGCCGCGUGCAGGAAGACUGCCCUAUGGGUUGUAAACUGCUUUUAUCCGGGAAUAAACCUCUUUACGAGUA
rnacentral:rRNA from 1 species